GGAACAUACCUUGCGGGUCAAAGGACAUCCGAUGUAACAAGCUUUGUGGGAAGACCAGGCAGUGUGGCUUGCACUCAUGUGCUAGAACUUGUCAUCCUUCGCCAUGUGAUGUUUCUGCUGGACCUAGCAAUGGCUCCAGAGCCUCUUGUGGGCAGACGUGUGGUGCUCCUAGAAGAGAUUGCAGGCACACAUGUACUGCUCUCUGUCAUCCCUCUUCUUCAUGUCCUGAUGUUAGAUGUGAGUUUCCUGUCACUAUUACUUGUUCUUGUGGCCGGAUUACAGCAAAUGUUCCUUGUGAUGCUGGAGGUCAGAUCGUUGACUCUGUUCUCGAAGCCUCUAUAAUCCACAA
rnacentral:misc_RNA from 1 species